rnacentral:tRNA from 2 species
GCGGAUGUGGCGAAAUUGGUAGACGCACCAGAUUUAGGUUCUGGCGGGAGACCAUGGGGGUUCGAGUCCCUCCAUCCGCA